GCAUCGAUGAAGAACGCAGCGAAAUGCGAUAAGUAGUGUGAAUUGCAGAAUUCAGUGAAUCAUCGAAUCUUUGAACGCACAUUGCGCCCCUUGGUAUUCCAUGGGGCAUGCCUGUUCGAGCGUCAUUUGUACCUUCAAGCUUUGCUUGGUGUUGGGUGUUUGUCUCGCCUCUGCGUGUAGACUCGCCUUAAAACAAUUGGCAGCCGGCGUAUUGAUUUCGGAGCGCAGUACAUCUCGCGCUUUGCACUCAUAACGACGACGUCCAAAAGUACAUUUUUACACUCUUGACCUCGGAUCAGGUAGGGAUACCCGCUGAACUUAAGCAUAUCAAUAAGCGGAGG
rnacentral:rRNA from 1 species